CCUACGGGAGGCAGCAGUGAGGAAUAUUGGUCAAUGGACGCAAGUCUGAACCAGCCAUGCCGCGUGCAGGAAGACGGCUCUAUGAGUUGUAAACUGCUUUUGCCCGGGGGCAAACGCCGAUACGCGUCUCUGUCUGAAAGUAUCGUACGAAAAAGGAUCGGCUAACUCCGUGCCAGCAGCCGCGGUAAUACGGAGGAUUCAAGCGUUAUCCGGAUUUAUUGGGUUUAAAGGGUGCGGAGGCGGUAGGAUAAGUUAGAGGUGAAAUCCCGAGGCUCAACUUCGGAAUUGCCUGUGAUACUGUUCAGAUAGAGAGUAGGAGAGGUAGGCGGAAUGCAUGGUGUAGCGGUGAAAUGCUUAGAGAUCA
rnacentral:rRNA from 1 species